AAAAAUAAAAAAAAUCUGUUUGUUUUUUUUUUCUGUGACAGACUUGUGACAGCAAUUGGCACAUUUGAUAAUACUUUUUCUCCACUGAGAUUUGCAGAACAUUAGGGACACAUCUCAUUCAUUGGGAUGAAUUGGAAUAUUGGGGUAUAUCUGUAGUUCCCAUUUAAAAACUGCCUAACUAAAUUUCAAAGUUUUAAUCAUGGAGCUUCUAACUGGAUAAAAGACUUUGAAACAGAACAUUCUGAAAUUUCUGCAAGAGCGCCCCACUACCAAAACCUUACCAGGCAAACCCAGUAGAGUAGAGGUUAUGCACCUUCCAGAUUCCAGGGGUUUCUAAAUUCUGGCACCUUUAUUUUACAUUGAUUGUCUUGACAGCUUCAUCUGAAAAGGAAAUGGAAUAAAAUAUUCAUUUUAAGUAAGGUGAUUCUGUUAUUGAUCUUAACUUUCAUACCUAGACACUUGUAAUUGUUCCCAUGGUAGUCUGGGAUGGUUGAAUAAGGUGCUUAGGCUUAUAUUGCUUUUUAAGUUAUCAGGUAAUUCUUAAAAGUGAUUAAAAAGAGUAAUUGCCUAACUUAGUAAUUCUGUGUAAAAUCUCUCAGACCAUGACUAAGCUAUUCAUCAUAAUGUAUGCUUGGAAUUUACUGCAUUCAUACUUUAAAUAACCUGUCAUUGUUUAUAAUCUCAGUUUGCACACACCUAUGUAAGAAACAAGAUAAUGUGCUAAGAGGGUAUGGUUAGAUAAUAUUCUGGAUGCUAUGGAAGCAGAAUAAUAGCAAAGAAAUAAGGCUACAACAUAAUUUUUAAUCUGUUUAACAGUAAAUUCCAUUGAGAUGUCAGAUCAGGUCACAAUUACAAAUAAACUACAGAAUUGGUGCAUGGAAAAUAAGGUAAGGAACAGGCUGAGAUUAACUCUGAAUUUUUUCCUUUGUCAUUUUAAUUAUAAUUUGAGUAAAGGUCGGUGGUUUUUUGGCUAAUAAAAACUUAAUACUUUCCUACAGAAUUUAGUUGUAUUAAUUCUGAUGUGCACAGCAUGUAAAUUUAAGAUCUGUCUUCUCUCAGUGGCAAUUGAAGUGUUGACCAGCAUUCAUGAGAAAUGCUGACCAAGAAGUCCAAUUGCCAAAUGGCAUCUUUUCACUGAUGUAGCAAACAAUUUCUCUUUUCAAGCACUCAUGUUACCUUCUGAUCUUGAAGUUCAGCUACUAAUUUUCUUUUUCUUAUUCUUGAGUUUAGCUCAGCAGAAUUUAUUCUCUCUUGAACAAAAUGACUCCCAGUUUAACUGUACUGCCUAGGAAAGAUUCAGCAGAACAUUUUAUACUUUCUUUUCAAAAGUACCUCAGACUUUUUAAUUAUCAAAGUCUCAGUUUUAUGAUCCAAAGUCACAGGAAAAGGACAAACAAGGAAUAGGUCUGAGAAAUUAUUAACAUCAGCUUCAUCCAAAUAUAAUAAUGUUUUAAUAUACAUUUUAAGUCUUUUCAAAUUUUAACGAAGAAUAAAAUGAAAAUAAAGUUACUACAUUACUCCUUCAGAAAACUGGAGUAAUGCAGUAAUUAAAACUGAAUUUAUUCAAUUACCUUUAACUAUCCAGGAAAAGUACCCAAACCCAAAAGAGAAGGACCCAUUUUAUUUCCAGCACAUCAGAUGACAGUGGAGACUGUCCUCAUGAUCUGAAACCCAAGAAAUAAUUCACCUUCCAGCUCCUCCUUAAGGAGGCAGGGAAAGACAAGAACCAUGGAGGGCACAUGCAUGACAGAGGAGCACACAUUAUUUUUUGGGACAGGAUGAACCCUGCAGAGCCUAAUACCCAUCAGAUCCCAGUUACCUCAAAGAGUUGAUGGCUCUGAAACACAUUUCUUUCUACCUGUUGUGGUUUGAGCCCUCCAAAAAUCCAGGGACUUGGCACCAAAAAAACUCUCCAGAAUUUUUAUUUAAUUUAUAUCCAUCUCAAAAUCCUUACUGAUAGAGUUGUUUGAAUCUUGAAGCUUGAUUAUCCCUUGUAUCAAAGGAAUGGGAAGACAUAUGUACCCAUAUAAAAUCAAGGGGCAUCAUCUGUCUUUUGUGCUGAAUAGGUGCCAUCUACCAGCACCAGAUGCAGAAGAGCCAUAAAUCCAGUUCUGGCUCAUUCAAACAGUGUUUCCAGCCACAUUUUGUUUGAAAUUCCAGGUCCUUCUCUUAGUCCUAAACACUCCCUUGAUCUUUGUCCAAGCCACUGAAGAUCUGAGAGGGUCAGUAUCCUCUUUGGCUUCAGCUGAAAUCAUUUGGUCUUAGGCAGCUUUUCCUUACCAGUUCCAAAACCUGCUACGCUGGAUUAUUUUUGCAAUUGGCAAUUUGGCAACUUCUCUUAUCUAAAGAUGCCACAGAUGCUGCAAACUCAUUUCAUCAAAAUUGAAGAUUCAUUUUCUUUGUGCUUUGAACUGCUAAUGUGCCAUUUCAGUCCUUUGCACAUUGUCCUAUGAGUAUAUCACCAGAUGAUAAAAAACACCAAUAUCAGUUCAGGCUGUAUAUUCUUUUAUUUCUUGCUUUAAAACUUGGGCAGAGAGCAGACAGCUAUUUUUUUUUUUUUCUGGUUGAAAUCUUUAUACUCUCCAUGAUCUUCUAAAGGAAGCAUUUAAAAUCUAUUUUGUAAUAGUUAAACUCUUCAUGGUUUAAAACAGCAACGUACAGGUUUUAAAUCUUGUGACAAGUAAUCUCCAAAGUAUUUGCUACCUGGUUUUAAGAAUUAUUCACUGGAACCAGGUGGAGCUGUGGAAGUCUCAGAAGCUCAAUAAAGCCCUCGGUGAUGCUGCUACAGAAAUUGUUUUGGAGAUUUGGCCAUCACUAUUCACCUUCGCUGUGAACCAACCGGUUAAUGCGAGAAAAAAAAUCUGCCUAAAGUACUGUGGCUUCCCUUGUCACUGCAUCUUUGUUUCAUAAUCAGGGCUUGAUCCUGUGAACAAUUUAGAAUGUCUAUAUUGAUUAAACCUUAGGAGUCUUCACUUUAAAUUCUAUCUGGUAUUCUGCAGACUAUAAUGAACAUUACUGAAUGCAUGGUGUCCUCUGGGAAACACCUUGAGAUUAUCAAGUUUAAUUUCCCCCAGGAAGUUCUUACAGCAGUGCAAUCAAGCUAACUUUUACUCUCUGUAAUGGAAGAAGAUUUAAUCUACGAUUUUUCAACCACCAACAUUUCCUAAUUUUCCUCUUUUAAAAAAGGAGGCUCGCUCUGGUUUUAGGUUCCUGCUAGACUUUUUCCCAUAGUGCAGCUCAUGAAUAUUCCAUCCCUUUUUAGUAUGCUGAGUAUGUACAAGCAGCUUAAAGCCUAUGGUUAGUAAGGAAUUUCUGUCAAUAUUGCAAUUAAAUCUUGUCUGUAAUAAUAGGUGACCUUUAAUCUAGUAUAUAUUGAGUCCCCUAAUCUCCCAGAUUGUAAUUGAGUGAUGGAGAUGCAAAGCUUUAUGAAAGAAAGGCAGAUCAUAAGAAAAUAAUUAUUUUUUUGUGUAAACUAUGAUUUUCCAAUUACUACUCUCAGCUGGGACAGAAAAAUAUCUAACUCAUGGUAUGUUCUGAUCCAAAAUUAAUCCUUUUGUAACUGUGUCUUUUUUGAUUAAAGACUAAUUUUUCUUUCUUCCAGGCGAAAUCCUCAACCCCUGUGGUAAUUUUAAUGUCAAUUUUUUUUUCUUCCCGAGGAUAUUAUUAAAGUAUAAGCAUAUUGAUAAACACAGGUUUAAACAAUAUAGAGAGGUAUCCAGAUAAAUAAUCAUUAGAAUUAUCUUAUUAUCUAUAAAUUUUGCUUUGAUGGCAAAGUGUAUCUGGUCCAUGCAAAAAAAAAAAAAACCAAACAAACCACAACUAAAUCCCUGAAUAGCAUGCAAGAUUUCUUUUUCCAAUUUAUGAAAUAAAUAUGCAGUUUUUAUAAUUAAUAUUUUUAAUAUAUGUAAAAAUGGUUGUAGAUGCUGAAUACAGAAGGAGUUUUGGGGACAUGGUAUGUGAACGAUAAAACAGGGAUAAGAUUUGAGUGGCCAGAAAUUCUGGGCAAAUAUUGAUGGAAGCAUUUACUUCACAGAAGAGAAAUUUUUAAAGCUUGACUACGGUUACUGUGCAUGUGCCAACAGAACCAUGCAAGAAAACUGUCACAGUGACCUUGCUUGUAAAGUAGUUUGACAUGUAAUGAUGAAAGAGGCAGUGUAAGAAUGAGGUGUUUAGAUUUACUUAAACUACUGUUUUCUUCUGCUGAUGUUUUUGUUUCCAAUUCCUGCAUUUGCUUUUAUUUCCCGACAUUGGUGAUAGUAGGAAAACCUAUUCCCCAGUUAUCUUCUUUGUAGAAAUGCAUAAUUUUCAGCUGCUAAUGUACAGCAAUAUUGGUGAGGGCUAUUACUGGAUAUUUUAUCUUCCAAUAUCUGCUGUUUGACAGGGGGAAACAGUCAGGUUUGCUUUGGCUGCUCCCUGUGAAACUCUCCCCAGGGGACAGUCCAUCAGUGCUUUUGUCACUCCUCCUACAGCAGUGGCCUGGGGAUCCCCUCGAGAGAAAAUGAGACAAAUAAAGACAAAUCAGGCUCAGAAAAUGCCAAACCACCUUCUCUAUUUCCUUUAAAUCUACUCUGGUUAAGAAACUAUAAUGAAGACAUGAACCACUUUUGUAAGCAGCAAAUGAGAUCAACUCACUUCAUACUCUUAAAAUUAUAAGAAAAUCCUUUUUAAGGCUGAAGUAUUCAGGAAAUCUCCCUUAUAGAAAAGUUGCUGCCUCUGUGUGAGUGGAGUCCAGAAGAUUUCAGUGUUUAGAAUGUACACAUCUGGCAACUGCACAAGUUUUGUGUUUUCUCUGAGCUGCUUCUGAAACAGCUGGCUGGGGAACCCUGCUCUGCACCUUUGGGUAUGUGCUCAUCUUCUCCACAAAUUCAUUUGCUCUUUAAUCUUAUUUACAUGAUCUCCUGAAAUACUGGAGCUAAAUUUUCACCAAAGUGUCAUCUUUGUAUGGGAUUUUUCAGAUUAGCAAAUUUGGGAAAAGAUUAAAGCAAUAUUAGCAAUAGAGAAUGUGCCGAGUACUAUUAAAAAGGAUAAUACUGCCAGCCUGGCCAACAAAAUCUCCAGUAAAUACAAGCACUGCUUAAAAUUGCUAUAAAAUACACUCCUGAAGGGUGGUCAGUCUGAUUAGAAAGUUUGAUGUGGUGUGAAACUAUUCUAAAUAGCUGCUUAUACAUUUUAAUCGAUUUUUUAGUAUAGAAUUCAAGGAUCAUUGCA